CCUACCAGACGUUCGCAACGUUGCCGACUCUCCCAAGUAUGCCGUGCUUUCAUCUCAAGUAUUUUCAUAUACUGUGUACCCGACUUCUUCUGCACCAGUGCAUGAGACAAGCACAGAGAAUGCAUGGGGUUUUUAAUACUGAAUCCUCUCAUAACCUCACGACUCCGGAAAAUCUCAGAAAGUUUUAAACUCUAUCUAACCUGAUCUGCGCAUCCGAGCGCCAAUGACGUACCAUCAAUGUGGACUUGCGUGACAUUACAAUAAAAAGAGUAAUAAAUGAAGAAAUUCAGAACACGUAGACAUUCACCUGCAACUCCAUCACAUUUCAAUUCACCAUGAUCUAUUCUCAGAGCCUAAAACCUCAGACAAUGUCAGAAUAGCGCUACCCAUAGCGUUAAAGAAAUUGAGAAAAAAGGUUCGAGGGGAGACGUUCAUGACACUGGAGCGGAAAAAAGGGAGAAAGUCCGUUGUGAUCGGUUGGCCCAGUUUCACAAAAAAAGGAAUAUAAAGCCUGGAUGACGACUAAAUCGAUUUUAAAUUAAAUCAACACCCUUCUGAGCACGAGUGCGCGCAACGAGUGAACAAUACCUUCAUCGCUGAAUAUCAUUCCCCGAAAAAAACAGCUAGUCGAUGAAUUUCGGCGAAAACUUGAUGAAGCAUUAAAAACUAUUUUUUGUGAAUUCAUCUGAUUUUUUUAUAAUUUCCAUGGUAUUCAAACUAAAAAUAAUCGAACAUGUAAUUUUAUAUUGGGAGUUAAAGAUAAAAUAAA